rnacentral:tRNA from 1 species
GGGGAAUUAGCUCAAAUGGUAGAUUGCUUGCUUAGCAUGCGAGAGGUAUGGGAUCGAUGCCCACAUUCUCCA